GGCCCCUGCGCGAUAUGAGCACCGCUCAGGACUGCAGCUGUUGGGCACCAGCAGCCAGGUCUGCAGGCUCCGCGAAGCCUGGCCCGGACCGUAGCUUCUGCAAGCAGUCCAGGUGUAUCCUGGGGUCACUGGAGGGCAGAGCCUGCUCAGAGCGAGUACAGAAGCAGCCCAGGUCUUCCCAGCACCAGGUUCACUGGAAGUGCCAGGUGUGGGAGAGGGAGCUGGGGAGGGAAGAGGGCUAUGCUGGUUCCCGAGCUGAAUGAUGUACCCAAGAGGCCAGGUAGCUGCAGCAGGUGCUAAGAUGAGGAGGAGACGCCAUCAUGGGGUGCAAAUAUGGAGCACAAAAGGCUGGACCCUCAUCCUUUUAGGCAGCUGCUGCUGAAGACAUCUGUUUCCCCUCUCCCCUCCUCAGGCCACCACCUCCUUCAUGCUCCUCUGUGAUCACCUCUCCAAGUCCCGGUGUCAGGAGCCUUCUCUGUGGCCGCCCUGGAGAGACUUGAGCCUGGGACGUGACGUGCUGGGCUGUGAAGCUUUCUGAGAAGGGAAACCUGUGGCCUGACCUGCCUGAAUGCUGCACCCAACCUCAUCUCUUCCUGGGAGGCAGGCUCUCUUCGCUUGUUUUUACAAAUUUGAAACCAACAACUGUCAGCAUUGACACCAUCAGGCCUUUCUCUUCUAAUUUAACCUUGCAGCCAACCACACGGCUAUCUGUGCGGGAUCUCUCCCCAAGCUCAAGGACAUGAGAUGCGGAUCAGGCCCAAGAGGCUGGAUGCCAAACCUAUCCUCUCCAUGUGAAGCACCAACUUGGGGGUGUCAACUAAAAAUAUGAGACCCGUAAACUUGGAAAGGAAGACUUUAUUUCUUGAGAAGGGUUGCAAACUGCAGGCUGGGAAGUGGCACCUCCAGCUGAGACCACAAACAGUGGACUUUCUCAAACUGGGGUAUUGACCUCUGAUGAACCGCCAUGCAAACCCGUGCCUUUCAACAUAAAAAGAAGCCCUUCGAGGUGCUCACCUUCAAGCUUGCUAGAGGAGGAGGAAGAGCAGGUUGAGUUUGACAUAACUAGAAUGGGUUGAGCCUUUCCAGCAGAGUAAGGUUCUUUCAUGGUGGACAGUGGCCACCCACUGCCAUUUCUACAAGAAGAUUUUGCUUCUUAGGCAC
rnacentral:lncRNA from 1 species